rnacentral:lncRNA from 1 species
UGUUUGUUUACCUUUUCGAAGGCGGCGGACUCAACAUGACGCGGAGGGAGGAACUUCGCUUUCUCUGUGAAAACAGGAAAAAAACGCAUUUAGAGUUUGUGUUUCACGCUUUCCCCAAGAGGUGAACAGAGAAGAGUUGUGCACAUCUCGGUAGAAACUACAGGGUACGCAGUGUCCACGUCUCAUCUGGAAAUUAUACUAAUGGAAACUCAGAUUCUAGACUUCUUCCUCAUGCCUCCCCAGACCAAGACCUUAGCUGUUGAAUGGUGGCAGCUAUCUUUCCAUGAUUGUGUGGCAGCGUCACCUAAGGAUACGCGAGGGUGUUGAAUAAACUGGUACAGCAGCCUCUUGUAUCACUUCUCCUGAGGACAGAGUCUACACCGCAAGAGACUUGAUGAUACAAUUCAACACGUUUUAUUUCAAGGCGGAGGAACUCAUCAAGGUUGAAAAAACUGGUACAGCAGCCUCACGUAUCACAUCCCCUGAGGACAGAUUCUACACACCAAGACACUUGAUGAUACAAUUCAACACGUUGCAUUUCAAGAUGGAGGAGCUAAUCAAGGUUGAAUAAACUGGUACCGCAGCCUCGAGGAUGGCUUCCCCUGAGGACUGAUUUUACAUCCCAAGACACUUGAUGAUACAGAUAGGGCGCAGCAGAUGGCCAGCAGCGCAACGGCGGCGAGAGCGACGACGCCGACCAAGAUGAAGAACUGUUUCAUCAAGGCGACUUUUAUUUCUAAGAGGAUCCGGAGAACCGAUGCUGCUCGCUCAAGGCAUUCGUGCUGCCGCUGGAGCGUGAGGAUUCGCGGUUCAUACCACACUGGGGGGAGCUCGCAGUGGGUGGCGUCGAUGGCGUCGGGACGGAGCCAGCGGGGGAUCGUCUUUGACGCGUAAAUUAGGUAGGAGCGGUGCCUUUCGAUGGCGUGCACCUUCUCCUAGCACAUGUGCUAGUAUGUAACGAAUAACAGUGCCGCGAGAAAGAAGCCGCACAGGCUAGCAACGCGGUAAGUGCACAUGGUGACGUUUUCGUCGCCGCCGCGGAUGGAGGUGGAGUGAUGGUAGGCAGGUUGUGUAUUAAAUUUGCCUUUCUGUGUGUGUGUGUGUUUGUGCUUGUGUGAUGGUGUUUUUUUUUAUUUGUUUGUAUUUUUGUGUUUGCCUGUGUGUGGGUGUGGGUGUGAAAAUAUUUUAAAAUGUGUUGGACAUCCAUUUCGAGGCUAGAGAUCUGUUGAAAGUGAGCCGACCAAAAAAUGUAUUCUCUUAAAUAAACCAAUAUUUGUA